rfam:Solanum lycopersicum cultivar Heinz 1706 chromosome 3, whole genome shotgun sequence.
GUUGCUUCUUAUGGUGAACUCUCUUUAUAAGUGAGCAAUGUUCAUGUUUCUGGAGCAUAAAUGAACUGUCAGCACUAAACAGUCUUUAAACCUGUCUCCUGAUACAUUC